CCUACGGGAGGCAGCAGUGGGGAAUAUUGGACAAUGGGGGGAACCCUGAUCCAGCCAUGCCGCGUGUGUGAAGAAGGCCCUCGGGUUGUAAAGCACUUUCAGUGAGGAAGAACGCCUGGUGGUUAAUACCCAUCAGGAAAGACAUCACUCCCAGAAGAAGCACCGGCUAACUCCGUGCCAGCAGCCGCGGUAAUACGGAGGGUGCGAGCGUUAAUCGGAAUUACUGGGCGUAAAGCGCGCGUAGGUGGCUUGAUAAGCCGGUUGUGAAAGCCCCGGGCUCAACCUGGGAACGGCAUCCGGAACUGUGCAGCUAGAGUGCAGGAGAGGAAGGUAGAAUUCCCGGUGUAGCGGUGAAAUGCGUAGAGAUCGGGAGGAAUACCAGUGGCGAAGGCGGCCUUCUGGACUGACACUGACACUGAGGUGCGAAAGCGUGGGUAGCAAACAGGAUUAGAUACCCGAGUAGUC
rnacentral:rRNA from 1 species